rnacentral:misc_RNA from 1 species
UUUCCGUAGGUGAACCUGCGGAAGGAUCAUUAAAGAGUAAGGGUCUUCGGGCCCGAUCUCCAACCCUUUGUUUAACUACCAUGUUGCUUUGGCGGGCCCGUCUCACGACCGCCGGAAGUUUGGCUUCGACCAAACUUCUGGCCCGUGCCCGUCAGUGGCCCCUUCAAAUUCUUGAUCAAGUAUGAUGUCUUAGUUAAAAACUUAAUAGUUAAAACUUUCAACAACGGAUCUCUUGGGUCUG